UAAGCUUCUUUGAAUAUUAAUCACAUUACUUUUGUGGCAGAAAACUUCUGCUGUUUUUGUAAUAAGUCAAUUCUAUCUUUUCCCUCUCUCCACCCUUUCCCAUCCUUUUUUUCAGAUGGUACCAAGAAAUCUAGCCAUUGUUUUUGGUCCAACCCUUGUGCGAUCUUUAGAAGAUAAUAUGACACAUAUGGUGACUCACAUGCCUGACCAGUACAAAAUUGUAGAAACCCUUAUCCAACAUCAUGACUGGUUUUUCACAGAAGAAGGUGCAGAAGAGCCUCUUACAACAGUUCAGGAGGAAAACACUGUAAAAUCUCAGCCAGUGCCUAACAUAGAUCCUUUACUGACCGACAUUGGAAGGACGGGCGUAUCUCCUGGAGAUGUAUCAGGUAACUUUGCCUGGGCGGUGGUAACCUGUAGGCUAGACAAACCUACUGGCUUCUAUUAGAAUGAUAAAGUAAAUAAGGCAUAAGUAAUAAUUCACUAUGAUUUUUCUUUUUCUCCUUGUUUUUUCCUUUCCACUAAUGAACUGAUUCUCCUUUUUCUGACUGAUCUUAAGUAUCUUCCAGUGAUUAUAAUGCCAUUGGCAGUGCAUGGAGUUGGAAUGCUUGUUGACAAGUC